GACGAACGCUGGCGGCGUGCUUAACACAUGCAAGUCGAACGAAGAGCGAUGGAAGCUUGCUUCUAUCAAUCUUAGUGGCGAACGGGUGAGUAACGCGUAAUCAACCUGCCCUUCAGAGGGGGACAACAGUUGGAAACGACUGCUAAUACCGCAUACGAUCUAAUCUCGGCAUCGAGGAAAGAUGAAAGGUGGCCUCUAUUUAUAAGCUAUCACUGAAGGAGGGGAUUGCGCCUGAUUAGCUAGUUGGAGGGGUAACGGCCCACCAAGGCGAUGAUCAGUAGCCGGUCUGAGAGGAUGAACGGCCACAUUGGGACUGAGACACGGCCCAGACUCCUACGGGAGGCAGCAGUGGGGAAUCUUCCGCAAUGGACGAAAGUCUGACGGAGCAACGCCGCGUGAGUGAUGACGGCCUUCGGGUUGUAAAGCUCUGUUAAUCGGGACGAAAGGCCUUCUGCGAACAGUAGAAGGAUUGACGGUACCCGAUAGAAACC
rnacentral:rRNA from 1 species